CGAUCUUGGACGAGGAAUAGGCAGCGAAAUCACCUUGGAAUCAUACUUUUGCCGCUCGACCAUGUGUUACAAUAAAUAUUGCUCGAGUGGAGUAUCGUGCUUUCACUUAACUGUCAAGAAAUCAGGAUUGAGUAAUAUUCUUAUUCGACGAGCAUUGUCCUCGAGUGUAACGCGUACGCGCAAAUUCCUCGGGAAUCCAACAUGUGCCAUAAGGGGAUGUUUUUUACGUCGCUGAGGGAUAAAUCAUCCGCGAUGAAUCAGCCUCGAUUUAUGCACAGCAUUGUCUUUAUUUCUCGUUGAUACUUGAAAUGAAAGAUUCGUUACAAAAUAACGUCCAAGACUGCAAAUAUCAUCGAUUCAGCUAGUGUUAGACGGAGGUAUACUCGCAUUCGAUAAGCAAGACGAUCAAAGAGUUGUCCUCGUAGCUUGGACGCAGACAAGGAUAAAUUACAAAAAUCAGUUACAUGCUCACUCUUUCUUUCUCGUAUUUUCUCAAACAUGCACACGCUCUUACUGACAGGCUCGCUCUUUCCCUCGAAAUCGUCUUCUUCUUCUCGAUCUCUCGGAAUUCUCUCCGUAGGCGUAGAGACACUCCGCUUUACAAUUAAUUCGUUACGGCUAGGAUAACAGUACGAGUUGGUCUACGCGGCAAUCUCACCCUUUCGUACUUCCGCUAAUUUCUAUAAUAUUUCUAUCGUCUUGUUCAUUCCUACUGAAGUCGUCAGCAUUGACAAAAGAAAGGAAUCGAAUGCAUUGUUUCGUUAGUUUACUCGAUCGAAUGGACGCGUCGUAACGCUUAAAAUUACUUGGUUUCCUCUUGUAUAUAAUAGUUCGUUAGAUAGUUUAAAUAUAUCCUCGUUAGUAACUGGAACCUGAGUGUUUCGCCCACAGCUAAACCGCCAGAGUAGUAUAUACAUUAUAUAUUUAUACAUAUUGCUGCAAACGUUAGAAAAAAGAGUGUACACGAGUGUCCAGAGAAUAACGUUCGUCUCCUUUAUACACUGCUAGGAAAAAUCGGCGCACGCGUAUGUGUAUUACAGGAAUAUCACUUGUUUGUGUAUUACAAAUUACAAAUUUCUCCAUCUCGAUUACAACAACUGUCAUCAAUGCGAUUUAAUUAUCAAUGUCGUCGCAGAAAAUUUGUUUCCACUUGUGUCAAAUUAUUUCGCUUGUUAGAGCCGAUCAUUCUUCAUCACUCUUUCUUUCUUUUCUUUUGUCAUCAGCGUCGAUCGUCUCAGCGUACGAAAUUGUCUUACCCUUCCUUUUGUUCCUCGACUUUCUCACUUUCUUUCCUUUCUCUCCCUCUCAGACUUUUAUCAUUCUCUCUCUCUCUUUCUUUCUCUCUCGUUCGCUCGCUCACACUCCGCAUCCAGUUCAUCUCGUAGAAAUGCUAAGGCAACUUUUAUUCUCGUCAUCUUUCUUUCUCCCUCGCACGCUUCCCUCCUCCCCCUCCAAAGUUCUCUCUUUUCUUGCAUCGCAAUCCACCCAACGACUCGAUCUCGCCUCGAUCCACCGAGCACGAUUUUUCUGAAAUUGACUCGUCAAUUUGACGAGGCAUUUGGCGAUCGGCACGCUGACACGAAUGUAGGAUCUAAAAAGAAGGAUACCGAAAGACCGAGCAAACGUCGCGAGAAUUCGCCGAAUUCGUUCGUUAAUGUUUCGGCUCGCGAAAGUAACUGUUGGAUCGGUCCCGCCGAAGAAAUCCAACCUCAUUAUCUUUCUCUUCGUCUGUCUUUCCUCUAAUUUUUUUCUUUGUAUAAAAAAGAAACUCGCUACUGUAACUCGGAUAUAUUUCUAGUUACAUCAUGAUGUAACACCUCUUUCUAAAAGUACAAAAGGGUACAAGAUACAAUGUUGUCGAGUCCACGUGAAAAAUCGAUUCAAAUCGAUCAAAUUCGAUGACGAUUGCUGUAUCGUCCUACGUGCUGUAUCGUUUCUAAUAACGAGAACCCUCGAGAAAAUCGUUCGUAUUUCAUUCAUUGAUUCAUUGGUUUCAUCACGUUUCGCCUCGAUGCUGCAAAUAAACUGCCAGAAAAGCAAUCUAUCAAACGUGCACGCGUGCACGCGACGAAAGAAAGGAUCAGUCAAGACGUGCCAGUAACGUUUUUUCGAUAUUUCGAAACUGAAACAAUUCCAACAAACGUUGCGCAGCCGUUCACGCGCGAUUCUUACGUUCCGGUUGAAUUCGCCAAAGCGAAUUUCUCGCUCGAACGCGUAAAUAGAAGCGCCUCCUUGUGUUUAGUCACGCUUAUUGCCGAAUACGAAAACGGAACGCUGUUGCAUAAGGAACGUGCGAGAUAGCAAAUUCUAAAAUGCGUGUGCACGCGUGAACGUUUCCUGUCUCGUCGACGACACUCGAAACGCUCGAGAUCUCGCAUUCCGCGAUUGUCCUCGUGAAAAACGCGAUCAUUAAAGGUUUCCAUACCUUCGAGUAGAUGUGUAUACAAAACAUACGUAUAAAUAUAUUGUAAAUAAUCAAUGAAAGGU